rnacentral:rRNA from 1 species
UACGAAGGGGGCUAGCGUUGCUCGGAAUCACUGGGCGUAAAGCGCACGUAGGCGGAUCUUUAAGUCAGGGGUGAAAUCCUGGAGCUCAACUCCAGAACUGCCUUUGAUACUGGGGAUCUCGAGUCCGGGAGAGGUGAGUGGAACUGCGAGUGUAGAGGUGAAAUUCGUAGAUAUUCGGAGGAACACCAGUGGCGAAGGCGGCUCACUGGUCCGGUACUGACGCUGAGGUGCGAAAGCGUGGGGAGCAAACAGG